rnacentral:misc_RNA from 1 species
UAAAAUUUUAGCUUCAAAAUUUGUCAAGUUAUUAAUAAAAUAUAAAGUUUCUCUGGUUUUUCUUCUGUUCUCUGCGCUCUAGGCAUUUUUCAAUGCCGAUCUUGCGAUUUCUCUCGCCCUUACUGGGCAGGGGGAGCUUCUCUGUCUGGCCGGUAAUGGGUUGACUCUCCCCACAGCCAGAUGGAUGUAAUUAAUAUUUUGUUGAAUGCUACUGUGAUAGAUCCAAACUUCAUUGGAGAGAGUCUUUUCAUGGGAUUUGAGUUUAUAGUGUUUGGUGUUAUUGUUUGCUGGGUUUUCUUUGCAUGCAGAUUCUAAAUCCUAGGUUGAGGCAUGAAGGUUACUCGGUUGGUUUUUGAAAGAUUAAGCCUCUUGAGACUAAUGGAUUGAUAUUUUUAGGGGCAACGUACCUCUUGGGGACGCUACCAGUGCUAUCUAUAGGCACCCAGUCCUUCAACGGCUUAGAGGAGCUCUACCCGUUGUCCAUUGGUCCUCCUAGGUUUCAUUUGUCAGUUCAUCAACUCAGUUUGGAGAUCAAUUAGUUUUUGUUUCUAGGCCUUUUUGAUUUGCUCAACUUUAUGGAGAGUUUCUUUUCUGUAAGGGAUCUUAGUCAAUAGGCGAUAGCCGUCUAGAUCCCUCUGAAACUACAUGGAUUUCUUGUAUUCUCUCCCGUUAAGGCUGCUAGGGUGAUGAGUGGUGGAAGGCGGCGAUUCUUCUCUACUUUCUCUUCCCUACCUGUUUCCUUCUCAACGGGUCGGAGUUGUCCAAAACCUAGUGUUCUUGGUUUUGGGCCUUUGGCUUUGUUUUUCCUAAUCUUAUUUGAGCUGGCUAAUUGAGCCUUUUUAGUUCAAAGUAGUUUAAACUUGUGUGAGCCUUGGGUCCAGCUUCUAAUCUUAUGCUGUAUUUUCAAGAUCUUUAGUCGAUCCUUCCUUUGUACUGGGUAUAGGCCCUUAUUCCUGCAAUGAAAUUUUAUAUAUCUAUAG